ACGGGUGAGUAACGCGUAAGAACUUGCCCUUUAGACUGGGAUAACAGAGGGAAACUUCUGAUAAUACUGGAUAAGUUAGUAUAUCGCAUGAUAUGCAAAUGAAAGCUACGGCACUAAAGGAGAGCUUUGCGUCCUAUUAGCUAGUUGGUAAGGUAAGAGCUUACCAAGGCGAUGAUAGGUAGCCGGCCUGAGAGGGUGGACGGCCACAAGGGGACUGAGAUACGGCCCUUACUCCUACGGGAGGCAGCAGGC
rnacentral:rRNA from 1 species